rnacentral:rRNA from 1 species
GUCCAUGCCGUAAACGAUGUCUACUAGCCGUUGGGCCUUUGAGGCUUUAGUGGCGCAGCUAACGCGAUAAGUAGACCGCCUGGGGAGUACGGUCGCAAGACUAAACUCAAAUGAAUUGACGGGGCCCGCACAAGCGGUGGAGCAUGUGGUUUAAUUCGAUGCAACGCGAAGAACCUUACCAGGGCUUGACAUUGAGUGAAAGAGCUAGAGAUAGCUCCCUCUCUUCGGAGACACGAAAACAGGUGGUGCAUGGCUGUCGU